AGUACGUGAAACUGCUUAGAGGUUAAGCCCGAUGAACCUGAAUAUCGAUUAUGGAAAAUUCAUCAUCAAGUAUAUAAUAUUUAAUACAUAUUAUAAAAAUGGUGUGCAAUUUUUCCAUAAAAGACAUUGUAAUCUAUUAAUGUUAUAAAUAUUUAUCAUAAGAUUCUUUUCAAAAGUUUACUCAAAUUAGAUUAAUAAUCUAAAAUUGAAUAAAUGAAUUGAAUUUGAUAAAUCAUUGAUAGAUUUAUAUUACAUAUAACGCUUAAAUUCUCUUGAGAAUUUUACAAUAAUAAUUAUAAUUAUAUUAUGAUUAUUUAUUUUGUAUGCGUUUAUAUGAUUAACAAUGCAAAAGAUUCAGGAUACCUUCGGGACCCGUCUUGAAACACGGACCAAGGAGUCUAACAUAUGUGCAAGUCAUUGGGUAUUAUAUAUAAAACCCAAAGGCAUAAUUAACUUAACUGUUUCAAUGGGAUUAAUUUUUAUAUAUUUAUUUAUUAUAAAUUCAAUCCCAGGGCGUUCUAUACUGUUAUGUACUUUAAUAUUUAUAUUAUUUGUACCUCUAACAA
rnacentral:rRNA from 1 species